rnacentral:lncRNA from 1 species
AUGAAAAGGACAAUAUACAUUUUUAUUUUAUAUAUUUAGCUAUUUAGCAAUAUCAGAGAAAGAACAGGGUAUAUCAAUAAACGGAAAAAUCUUGAAAAACAUUAGAUUCGCAGACGACACCGCUAUUUUUGCAGACAGUUUAAAAGCACUGCAACGAUUAGUACCUAAAUAUAUUACAUCAAAUCAGUAUAAAAUAUGAACUACGAAUGAACGUUAGAAAACCAAGUUCAUGAUUAAUUCUAAGCAACAUACAAUAGGAAGGCUAGAUAUCGAGGGAAAAAUCAUAAUUUUUUUAUGUAAAUAUAUCAUUUUGCAUAAAAUUGGUAUAUAGGAGGUAUUGGUAGUAAGGAGUCGGUUUGUUAUACCUAAUGGUGUAAAAAUGUUUGAAGUAUGUAGUAUGAAACACAAAUAGGUACAUUUAUUUGAAAGUAAUUUUUUUUACAAACGUACAUUAUAACAAUAGUAUUAAUGUUUCUUCAACAUUCUGCAUUCAACAUUUCUGCAACAGAUUCAUUGUUUUAAUGUUUAAUGAAAUAUUAUGUUUUCUUUUUCUGGAUUCUGCUUUUGUAGGUCUGCCUGAUUGAAUUCUUCCACUACAAGGUAAGCCUCUAUCUUUGCGUCGAGCGAUCGAUGUAGGCUGUACAUACACGGAUUUUUCGAGAUCUUCUUAUAAUAUUAUUUUCACAAAUAAAUGAUAUAAUAUUCGAUGGAGUUUUUAGUUGCGACAAAUUAGACGGCAAAUGAUAAUAGACCUAUUAGUUCUAUGCACUUAUUUGUAGAAUUCCAACGCCACAUGUUUCGGUACAAACCCGUGCACAUUUCGGGGGUUGGCGCUUUCAAAUCAACACCUUUUUGGAACUAGAUAUGUAUCACCGUUUCAGUGUCCGUUUCAAACCUCAAUGUCUUGAAAUGGACACGUAAGCGGAAAUACGCCACCGGUACAAACUUGACGACAAACAAAUUUUUCCUCAUUAGUUUUUUCGCUGCCGUCAAGUUUGGCAAGAAAGCGCUGUUGCCAAAUAAAAAACAUAUAUGUAUUUACUACUGGCUACACUGUUUCUCUUUGUCUUUAAGAGUGUGAGACAAAGAUAACUAUCUGUAAUAUAAGUGUCAAAGUCAUGUUGUUCUAUAAAAGGUUAUGUAAAAUUUUUGUUUUUUAUUUUUUUCCUCUUCUUUUAUGGCCUUUGGGAGCUGUGCCCAUUUAGCCAGCAACAUUUCUUAAAAUUAACGCCUUACUAAA